CGACCCUGACACCGCCAUGGGCUGCGGGCUGUUCUGCUGUGUGGUCCUCUGUCUUGUGGGAGCAGCCUCUGCGGACACGGAAAUAACUCAGAUACCAAAAUACCUAAUCAUGGAAACUAGAAAUAAGAAAUCUUUGAGAUGUGAACAACGUCUGGGUCACAAUGCUAUGUACUGGUAUAAACAGAGAGCUCAGAAGCCGCCGGAGCUCAUGUUCGUCUACAACUACCAGGAACUUGCUGGCAAUGAGACUGUUCCAAGUCGCUUCCGGCCUGAAUGCCCAGACAGCUCCCGCAUCUACCUGCACGUGGACACCCUGAAACUGGAAGACUCCGCCCUGUAUCUCUGCGCCAGCAGCAAAGACACAGCCCUGCAGAGCCAACUCCUUCCUGUGCACAAACCUCCAGGGGCCAACACCUACUAUUUUGGGGAAGGAAGCCGGCUCACUGUCAUAGACGACCUGAGCAAGGUGACCCCACCCAAGGUGGCUGUGUUCGAGCCGUCAGCAGCAGAGAUCUCCCGGACCCAGAAGGCCACGCUCGUGUGCCUGGCCACGGGCUUCUACCCCGACCACGUGGAGCUGAGCUGGUGGGUGAACGGGAAGCAGGUCGAGACAGGGGUCAGCACGGACCCUCAGCCCCACAAGGAGGACCCCAGCCGCAACGACUCCAGCUACUGUCUGAGCAGCCGGCUGAGGGUCUCCGCCAGCUUCUGGUACAACCCUCGCAACCUCUUCCGCUGCCAAGCCUGGUUCCACGGGCUCUCGGACGAGGACGAGUGGAAGCAGGACAGGCCCAAACCCGUCACCCAGAACAUCAGUGCCGAGGUCCGGGGCCGAGCAGACUGUGGCCUCACCUCGGCGUCCUACCAGCAAGGGGUCCUGUCUGCCACCAUCCUCUAUGAGAUCCUGCUGGGGAAGGCCACCCUGUAUGCUGUGCUGGUCAGCGCCCUGGUGCUGAUGGCCAUGGUCAAGAGAAAGGAUUCCUGAAGCCAGCUUAGAGGUGGAGCCAGGAGCUUCCAGCCUGUUAUGGCCCUGAUGUGAAUUCUGCUUUUUCCAUUCCUACCCAGUGCUUCAGAAGAGCUGCUCUCAUCUCUCUACGCACCCCAGUAUCUACCCCUGUGUGCAUGCCCCCCAAACACUCAUGACCAAAAUCUCCCUAGCCCAAGGGGGACCCUGGCGGGCCUGAACGGA